rnacentral:tRNA from 1 species
GCAGUGGUAGAUCAGUGGUAGAUUUCUUGCCUUCCAUGUGCUGGAGACCUGGGUUUAAUUCCCAGUCAGUGCA